UACAGAGGUGCCAAGCGUUAGGCGGAAUCACUGGGCUUAAAGCGCGUGUAGGCGGGUCGUUAAGUGUCCGAGUGAAAUCCCACGGCUCAACCGUGGAACUGCCGGGCAUACUGGCGAUCUUGAGGCAUUCAGGGGCGAGCGGAACAAAUGGUGGAGCGGUGAAAUGCGUAGAUAUCAUUUGGAACGCCAAUGGUGAAAACAGCUCGCUGGGAAUGAUCUGACGCUGAGACGCGAAAGCCAGGGGAGCGAACCGG
rnacentral:rRNA from 1 species